CACUUCGGAGCCUGGGGAGGCACCGACUGUGACGGCAGCUCAUGGGGGGCUUCUGCCAGGGGUCCUGCUCAGCCCUGAGCCCUGCGGGACACCGGCUGGCUCCAGAGUUACAUGUGCUGGCUCCAGAAUGGUGCUGGCUCCAGAGCAGCGCUGGCUGCAGGUAGGAGCUGCAGUUCAGCUCACGGUUCUUUCUGGAGCAGUGCAAAAUAUGAGCACGACAGAGAAGCUGCAGCACAAGGCAGGGCACGGCCCCGUUGCCUUCCACAGGCCCUGGCUGCAGCACUGUGCUCUCCUUGUGCCCAUCCCACAGCCCCUGUAGGGCUCAGGGCUGCAGGUCCCACAGCGCUGCAGCACUGCAGCCUGCGGGGCGGUCGCUGUGGCAGUGCUGGGUGAUGCUGUUUAUCUCAGGACAGGUCCAGGGACUGGAACACGUGCCCUGCAAUGGGUCACCUACAUUUAUCCGACUGUUCUUCGCAUCACCUUCUGAAUUUACAGCAGUUUCAUAGAAGAGAGGAAUUCUCACAACGAGGUGGAGCGGCCGACGUCAUGGCGUGCUCCAUUUGCAGUGGAUUUCCUGGGGAGCUUUGCAAGAGUUUCAACCGAGAGCAAAAUAAUGUCAGAGCUGCAAGGCUCCCCGAGGGGAUGAGGAGCACUGCAAUCCAUGGGAGCACAGAACACGGAGUGCUCAGGCUGGGGAGGGCAUGGAUGGGGGAAGGCGUUCCCUGCAGCUGGGGGGGAGGAGGAGGAGGAGAAGGAGGAGGAGGAGGAGGAGGAGGAGGAGGAGGAGGAGGAGAAAGAGGACAGAGUCUCAGCACAGGGGGUCACUGCAGCAAUCCACAGCCAGGGCAGAGCUUUGGGGGGGUUGUUAAGGGAGAUGGGGGUGGGGAUGCAGUGCUGCAGUGCGGGAGGUGGUCCGUGGGCAUGGAGGAGGGGCAGGGAUGGGACAAAGGUCCCCAGGAAUGGGGGAAUUCACGCACCUACGGGGCCGGGGGAUCAGCACCAGGACGCAGUGAUGUGGGAUACGGGAAGGCAGGGGGGAGGUGGGUGCGGGACAGCAGGGUUUGCAGGUGGGAGCCGUGGGUGCUUUUCACUGAUCGCUCCGGGAGACCCAAAAAGGGGGGAGAUGGACACCCCAGCGCCCCCAGCACCAGCAGGUGUGGGGGAGUUGGCCGUGUCUCACACCGCUCCCAGCAAAGGGCCCAAAUCCUGCAGGUGGGCUACUGAGACACCGUGCCCGGGCACCAGCGGAAGAUCAGGACCUCCCCCCCCCCGCCCAGCAUUGCUGCAGAGUGUUCCAGAACUGGAGCAGUGCACGCCUUGCUCCAGAUGGCCCUCGGAUGCAGCUGACCCAGCACAGGACCCCGGGUCCCAGCUGAGCAGCACAGUGAGGACCACCGCUCUGCAGGGAGCGGCCGCAGCGCCGACGUGGGGCCGAACCCAUCAGAGCGAAAGCACGGCAAGAUCCAGAGGCUUCCUUCCUUUUUGUGAUGGCAACCACGGGUCUGGUGCCCGCCAGAACGCAGCCGGCACCGCUGCCGUGCCCCACCACCGGCAGUGCCGCCCCGCGGCCCGACAACGCUCAGAGCACUUCCAGGUGAAAAGCACCGGGGAAACACACGUCGCUGUUAAUUGCUCGGGAGAAAACAUUUGGAAAGGAAAACCCACGACAGAACGCAGCGGCUUCACGAGAGCGGACAGAGGAGGGGCGGCCGACGCGGGAGCCGAGCACGGAGCAGCGGGCAGCACACGCAGCCCCGGGGGAGGACGGCCGCGCCGCUCCCCAUCCGAGCAGGACAGACGCCUCCGGAACGCCCCGACGCCCACCCGGGUGCCACGCAGCCUCUUACCGUGCCGCGACCACCGGAGACUUCUUGCCGGGAUCCAGCGCGGAGCCGGCCGGCUCUNNNNNNNNNNNNNNNNNNNNGGCUCUGCCCCCAGCGAGCGCGUGUCCUUGUUCAGCUGCUGCAGGCGGGAGCUCAGCUCGCUGAUCACAGUUGGCUUGUCGUCGUCAGCCCCGUGGAUCGGGCGGCUCUCCAUGGGGUCCCCCCAUAGCUUGGACCUUCUCUGAAAGAGGGAGCGUGGCCGG
ensembl:lncRNA